GGAGGAAUGCAGCAAAAAGCAUGAGGAAAAAAUGGAGAAGACAGAGAGUUAUGGGGAAAUAGGAGAUUCCUUAUCAGCUAGAACUUGUGCUGUAUGCAGCAAGAAGGCAGGAUUUCUGCUCUAUUCAGUGCCUGCACAUCCAUACACUCACACAAAUGAAUACACACGUGCAGAGAAUGUUCUGGUUUCUGAUAGUUUCCAGUCCCAUUUUGCUUUUUCCUGGGGACAGGUAUGUGAACCAAAAUAAAAGCGCAGACGGCAUUAUUCCAGUUGCGGUUCACACCUAGCUCUGGCGUUUAAGAAGCUUUUCCCAUCUCAGUGGUGAGCUACAGACUCCUAAAGUCUGAAAAGCGACUCAAUCGGGCACCGUUCCGGAGCCAGACGGGACAGGCGCGGCCUCCUGCUCAUGCGGCGUUCUCGUGCUGCCAUCGCGUGGGGAAGAGCCCCGUUCCGUCACCUCGCGUGGAGGUGGGCGCUAACGUCAGCUGUGCAGAGUCGUAACGUGGGCUCUUUGUAUCCCCAUCUUUCUGUUUUGUUUUUUUUUUUUUUCUUUCCUUGUUUUUAUUUUCUUCUAAAUUUAGAUAUCUUUCAUCCAAGCGGCAUGAAUGUGAUUAAAGCAGCAAGACAUUAUGGGAAAUCGGUGUUCCCACGGUUCCCUCGGAGGCUCUCCCCACACACAACCGCCCGGGCAGGCGCUCACUCCCCUCGCCCCGCCGCGGCCGCCGGGUUGCCCCGCACAGACCCGCGCUCUCCGCGCCUCCCUCAGCGCGCUGCGGCCGCUCUCCAAUAGCUCCACGAGGGGGCGCUCGAGCGCCGCCACCCAACGGCUCCCGGAAAGCCGGAAAAAGGGAAAGGUGGGAAAGGCUUCCUUGGCUUUCUCUGUCAGCAGCUUGUAUGCUUUCUGGGCUCCUUGUCAGCUCCCUAAGGAAGAGCUGACCAUGGGUCAGAAAGCCAGCAAACCUGAGAGAGUACUGGAGGUGAUGACAGUAGCAGAAAGAGCAUCCGUCCUUCUGCAGCUCAGAAGCAGUAGCAGUGACCCCAGAAACUUAAGUAUUUGGCCAGAAAGAGGGAAAGAACCACAGAAUGGGGCCACAAUGCAGCCAGUGUAAACAUGAGCUUCACAACACUGUUCAUAUCUGUGAAGAUGGUGAUGCUGGCUAUUUAGAUGCCUAAUGGGAAACCCAAAGGUCCAGCUUGAGGUGUAAGUUUCAAAAUGCUGUCCUAAGUUCCUCAUCAGUGCUCACAGUCAAUCAGUGAAAGAAGAGUGACCGCGUUCCAGAGCACUGCAUUCCUACCACUUGACUGGAUGUUGGAGAACAGAAUGAGAAAAAAUAAUUGUAGGGUAAUAAAUUCUUGCCUUGAAUGUUUUCA
rnacentral:lncRNA from 1 species